GCCGGGCGAGGUGGCGGGUGCCUGUAGUCCCAGCUACUUGGGAGGCCGAGGCAGGAGAAUGGCGUAAACCCGGGAGGCGGAGCUUGCAGUGAGCGGAGAUCGCGCCAAAGCACUCCAAGCAUGGGUGACAGAGCGAGACUAUCUCAAAAAAANNNNNNNNNNGUAGUACAGUCUCGCUCUGUCGCCCAAGUUGGAGUGCAGUGACCGGAUCUCAGCUCACUGCAAGCUCCGCCUCCCGGGUUUACGCCAUUCUCCUGCCUCGG
rnacentral:SRP_RNA from 1 species